rnacentral:rRNA from 1 species
GAAACCCGGGCUAAUACCGCAUGAGCCUCAUUUUGUAAGCGAGAUGAGGGAAAGUCUUUGGAUGCCGAAGGAGGAGCCCGCGUCCGAUUAGCUAGUUGGUGAGGUAAGAGCUCACCAAGGCGACGAUCGGUAGCCGGUCUGAGAGGACGGACGGUCACACUGGGACUGAGACACGGCCCAGACUCCUACGGGAGGCAGCAGUGGGGAAUUUUGGGCAAUGGGCGAAAGCCUGACCCAGCAACGCCGCGUGGAGGAUGAAGGUUUUCGGAUCGUAAACUCCUGUCUAGAGGGACGAAGCAAGUGACGGUACCUCUGGAGGGAGCCCCGGCUAACUCCGUGCCAGCAGCCGCGGUAAUACGGGGGGGGCGAGCGUUGUUCGGAAUUACUGGGCGUAAAGGGCGCGUAGGCGGUUUCGGAAGUCAUGGGUGAAAGUCCUCGGCUCAACCGAGGGAUUGCCUGUGAAACCACGGGACUGGAGUGCUGGAGAGGGAAGUGGAAUUCCCAGUGUAGCGGUGAAAUGCGUAGAUAUUGGGAGGAACACCUGUGGCGAAGGCGGCUUCCUGGACAGACACUGACGCUGAGGCGC